AGUGAACGCUGGCGGCAGGCCUAACACAUGCAAGUCGAACGGCAGCACAAGAGAGCUUGCUCUCUGGGUGGCGAGUGGCGGACGGGUGAGGAAUGCAUCGGAAUCUGCCCAUUUGUGGGGGAUAACCUCGGGAAACCGGGACUAAUACCGCAUACGACCUACGGGUGAAAGCAGGGGAUCUUCGGACCUUGCGCAGAUGGAUGAGCCGAUGCCGGAUUAGCUAGUUGGAGGGGUAAAGGCCCACCAAGGCGACGAUCCGUAGCUGGUCUGAGAGGAUGAUCAGCCACACUGGGACUGAGACACGGCCCAGACUCCGACGGGAGGCAGCAGUGGGGAAUAUUGGACAAUGGGCGCAAGCCUGAUCCAGCCAUGCCGCGUGUGUGAAGAAGGCCUUCGGGUUGUAAAGCACUUUUGUCGGGAAAGAAAAGCAGCCGGUUAAUACCCGGUUGUCAUGACGGGACCCAAAGAAUAAGCACCGGCUAACUUCGU
rnacentral:rRNA from 1 species